rnacentral:rRNA from 1 species
CCCUUAGAUGUCCUGGGCCGCACGCGCGUUACACUGAUGCAUUCAACGAGCUUAUAACCUUGGCCGAGAGGCCUGGGCAAUCUUGUUAACGUGCAUCGUGAUAGGGAUAGAUUAUUGAAAUUAUUAAUCUUGAACGAGGAAUUCCUAGUAAACGCGAGUCAUCAGCUCGCAUUGAUUACGUCCCUGCCCUUUGUACACACCGCCCGUCGCACCUACCGAUUGAAUGGUUCGGUGAAGAUCUCGGACUUCGAUAUUUGUUCUUCAUUGAACUUAUAUUGUGGGAAGUUAUCUAAACCUCAUCAUUUAGAGGAAGGUGAAGUCGUAACA